GCAUGCGGCACUGCUGCGAUUCUGUGGAGCCCCUCAUUGAUUCCAUGCUGUUCCUAUCUCGGAAGACGGAGGAGAUUUUCUACACACGUUUGUCUCCUUUCUCCGUGCCAGACUAGUGGAAGCAGCAUUCCAGAGGAUGGUGACUCAAGACAUUUGUCUGGAAGACUAGUUGGAACAGGAACUCUGCAAAGCAGGGCUCUUUCCUGCCUCUCUGUGCCAGCCUAUCAGCCUCCAUGAAAAACACCAUUCUGAGACCCCAGUGCUGAGGGCUGGGCUUGAAGAGCCUCUCCAGAUCCCCGUUUCAAACUUUCAAACCCUAAACCGCCACAUUCAGCGCUUCUGUGAAACGCCUCUUUCCCUGGAAACAUUAAUUCAUCCACCUGGGAGUCACCUAGCAUUUCUCUGAGUAUUAUAUACAUUUAAAAAACAGAUAAUACUGUGACUUUUCAAGAACGUGUGCUUGGGGCAGCGGUUUUGUUUUUCCGGGUCAUACGGUGACGUCUUGUCCAACCCAAGGCUACUUAAGAGCGGCAGCCAGCCUGCAGAUCCUGCUCCCCCUGCCUUGGGGCCGCUUUCCCGCCGAGACUACAUUUCCCAGAGUGCGUCGCAGGCCGGAAGGACGCGCAGGACGGUGUCUCGUAGGACCCGGAUUAGGACAAGAUGGCGUGCUAGUGGGACAAAAACUGAUGUGCCUAGAAGCAGAUUUUGAAGGCAGUUUUCUUCAAAGAAUCUUUUUUCAUCCCAGCUGAUAAGCUACGUCUUGAUACACCAUGGCGGCAGCAGUAAUGAAAUGGGUGAUAUCAAAGAGAACUAUCUUGAAACAUUUAUCUCCAGUCCAAAAUGGAGCUUUAUAUUGUGUUUGCCAUAAAUCUACAUAUUCUCCUCUUCCAGAUGACUAUAAUUGCAAAGUGGAGCUUGCUUUGACAUCGGAUGGCAGGACAAUAGUAUGCUAUCACCCUUCUGUGGACAUUCCAUACGAACACACAAAACCUAUCCCUCGACCAGAUCCUGUACUUAAUAAUGAAGAAACACAUGAUCAAGUGCUGAAAACCAGAUUAGAAGAAAAAAGUGAACACCUUGAGCAAGGACCCAUGAUAGAACAACUUAGCAAAAUGUUCUUUACUACUAAGCACCGUUGGUAUCCUCGUGGACAGCCGUAGCAGAGAGCUGGGUCAGAAGUGGAGCAGCCAGGACUUGAACCAUUGCCUAUAUGGGAUGCUAGCGCUGCAGGUAGCAGCUUUACCCGCUACACCACAGCACUGGCCCUGAGGUAUUUUCCAUUGUUGGUUCACUCACCAAAUUCCUGCAAUAGCUGGGGCCGGGCCAGGCCAAAUCCAAGAGCCAAGAACACCAUCCAGAUCUCCCAUGUGGAUGGUAGGAACCCAAGUACUUGGACCAUCAACUGCUGCCUCCAGGGUUAUCAUACACGUCGUAAGAAACUGGAUCCUCCAAGGGACAGAUGAUACUGAGGUUCUUGGAAUCAAAGAGGAAUGUUAUCCUGUGCCUCAUUUUCCAUUUGAGAAAAUGGAAUCUGGUAUCUUCCCCUUAUAUGUUACAUAGUAAAAUGAUCAUUAAAUAUCCUUUCAUGUA